rnacentral:rRNA from 1 species
CCUACGGGAGACAGCAGUGAGGAAUAUUGGUCAAUGGCCGCAAGGCUGAACCAGCCAAGUCGCGUGAGGGACGACGGCCCUACGGGUUGUAAACCUCUUUUAUCGGGGAGCAAUAAGCGCCACGUGUAGCACGACGCCUGUACCCCGUGGAAAAGCCAUGGGCAAACUCGUGCCAGCCACCGCGGUAAUACGGAGGAUGCGGGCGUUAUCCCGAUUUUUUGGGUUUAAAGGGUGCGUAGGCGGUAUCUUAAGUUAGUGGUUAAACGUCGGGGCUUCACCCUGUUUUGCCAUUAAGACUGGAGGACUCGAGUUGAGGCGAGGUAGGCGGAAUAAGUUGAGUAGCGGUGAAAUGCAUAGAUAUAACUCAGAACUCCGAUAGCGAAGGCAGCUUACCAGAUUGCGACUGACGCUGAAGCACGAGAGCGUGGGUAGCGAACAGGAUUAGAUACCCUAGUAGUC